UAUAGAGCUCAGAAUAGAGAUAGACCCAGAGAGAGAGAGAGAGAGAGAGAGGAUGAUCAUCUCUUCUCUCAGCUCACCAAAACCAUGCAAUUUCCUUCUCCUCAACCACAAAAAUGGCGGAAUCAACAAAUGCAAUCACUCUAUUGACAACAAUAUACACCUUCUUAACUACCCACAAAAAUCUAUACUUACUGCUGCCAUUUCAGGCGCAUUAUCACUCACUCUUCUACUCCCUUCUCCUCUUUCAGUAGCCAUUGAUUCUCCUCCUCUCGAUCAACCACCUCUCCCCGUGGAGUACUGUCAGGAGGAUGCAAGUGAAAUUGAGGCCGAAACUACGCAGGUUUCGGCCACAAAUGAGGGUAUUGUAGAGGAAGCUUGGGAGAUUGUUAAUGAUAGCUUUCUUAACACUGGUCUUACUCAUUGGUCCUCUGAAUCAUGGCGUCGCACAAAGGAAGAUUUAUUGAGUAGUUCUGUUAAGAGUAGAUCUAAAGCUCAUAAUUUGGUGAGAAAAAUGUUGGCCAGCUUGAGAGAUCCUUAUACUCGUUUUUUAUCACCCGAAGAGUUCUCAAAGAUGGCGAGAUAUGACAUGACUGGUAUUGGAAUAAAUCUCAGGGAAAUUCCUGACAGUAAUGGAAGCUUUAAAUUGAAGGUGCUAGGACUCAUAUUAGACGGCCCUGCUCAUACUGCUGGAAUAAGACAGGGCGAUGAAAUCUUAUCGGUUGAUGGGGAAGAUGUGAGGGGAAAAUCAGCCUUCGAAGUAUCAUCAAAAAUGCAAGGUCCCAAUGAAACUUUCGUAACAGUUGAGGUCAAGCCUGGGAAUUGUGGUCCUGUUCAGUCUUUCAAAGUUCAGAGACAGCUGGUUGCGAGACCUCCUGUGUUCUAUAGAUUGGAACAAAUUGACAAUGGUGCAACCUCAGUUGGAUAUGUGCGUUUGAAAGAGUUCAAUGCAUUGGCUAGAAAAGAUGUAGUGACAGCAAUGAAGCGCCUACAGGAUCUAGGUGCCUCAUGCUUUGUUUUGGAUCUGAGGGACAAUUUUGGUGGCCUGGUGCAGGCUGGAAUAGAAAUUGCAAAGCUGUUUCUAAAUAAAGGAGAUACGGUGAUUUAUACUGCUGGAAGAGAUCUGUCCCAGAAUGCCAUUGUGGCAGAGACUGCACCACUUGUUACUGCACCUCUCAUGGUUUUGGUGAACCACAAUACUGCAAGUGCAAGUGAAAUUGUCGCAUCUGCUCUUCAUGAUAAUUGCAAGGCUGUUCUUGUUGGAGAAAAAACUUUUGGCAAGGGUCUCAUUCAAUCAGUUUUUGAGCUACAUGAUGGAUCCAGUGUGGUCGUGACUGUAGGAAAAUAUGUCACUAAAUUAAGUCAAUUGUCAUCUGUAGGGUCUCAUUCAAUCAGUUUUUGAGCUACAUGAUGGAUCCGGUGUGGUCGUGACUGUAGGAAAAUAUGUCACACCUGGCCACUCAGAUAUCAAUGGCAAUGGAAUCGAGCCUGAUUUCUCAAACAUUCCAAGGUGGAGCGAGGUGACAAAUUAUCUUUCCACCUGCAAUCGAUCUAGGCAGGGGUGAUAGUAGCAGUAGCAGACAAUUAUUUUUGCCUGGAAAUUACUUCUUGUGAGGCUGCUCAUAUCAAAGUUCUUUCUCAUCGGAAUUAUUGUCCAUUGCUUUGUUCGUGCACCCAACAUGAUGGUCCUACCUUGUAGUCGUGAAGAACUCGAGAUUUUGCUGCUUUCUGAUCCUUGUUUCUGGUAUCGGGUUUAAUUUGGCAGAGGUAAUUGGGUUACCUUUCAUGUAUAUUAAUAUUCCUUGUAAGUAAUAGAUGCAUGUUCAGCAAGAACUACUUGGUUACAGAAUAAUAUUUUGACUUGUAUCCCAAUUUUCGCAUAUAAUAAACCAUCUAAAACAAAACACAUGCAAAA